GCCCCCGGGCCCAGAGCUCCGCGGCUCCAGGGCCCUAACGCCCCUUCAUUGCCUGGCGCGCCCCGCAGAGUGCUCUCCAACUUUCCUACCCCAACGCUACCUCAUCGCAGCGGAACCCAUCGCCCCAGGUCUGCUCCUUCCCUCCCCUCCCCACCCCUGUCUUCUCACGUCCCCUUCCCAUUUACUCUUCCUCUGUUGGCGCGCAAAGGAUUGGCUUCUGCUUUCUCCUCUCCUCCCUCCCCUCCUUAGAAUUUUACUCGAUUGUUUAUUAUUUGCUGGGGGCGGAGGCGGGGGGCGGAGAGGGGUGUCUUGAGCCUGGAGACUCGUGGCCGCGGCCAGUCAGCGUGCCGCAUGGCUUGACGAGUGAGCAGCGCAGCGAAUGGCGACGGGGCGCCGAGCUCCCGGGUCACGCGCGUUUGGAUACAAUGACAUCAUCUGUUUGUACGCGUCGAACUAGCUUGGUGCAGGGGCGGAGCCGUGCGUCACUUGAGUGACGGGCCUUGCUCAAAGCCCGGAGCCUGGAAUCCGCCGGGUGGGCGGACUUAUGCCUACGCUGGGUUGGACCUUUUUGUGUAUCGGGGUGUUGCUGAGCCCGCUCUAGACUCAAAGAUACUUCCAGUGACUUGGAAGGAUUUAAGAAAUAAGAUACUGAUAAAAGUGGAUAGAGUUUUGGUGUGCAUGUCGCAUGUAGGGUAUUCUUAGUGCACAAAUGAAUGACUUGGGCACUGAUCAUUGGAUAAAAGCUUGUAAAGAUUUUUUUUCUAAACCUAAAGGAGUAUCAUUCUUUAAAAAGUCAAAAAUGCGCAAUUAGACGUUUGCUGUCAUUUACAAAUUAGAGUAAAAUUAUUUCCCAUUCACAGUUGUUCAAAAUCUGCUCUUGGGUUUAAGAAUGGAAUAAUUUGCUUUUUCCAGAGUUAGUUACACUUCUCUCCUCGUCUGCCAUCAAAUCCCUGAAAAGUGAAACACGAUUGCGGUCGAGUGUCCUGGGUAAGAGUGUAAACCGCUUGGUGCCUGAUCAAAUCUGAGGGCAUCAGGUUAUCGAAGUCCUGAAGGCACCAACAUCUUGGCUUGUCAGUAUUUCCACGCCGAGGCAACCCUUGCUAUCUACGGUCAGCAUUUUAUCUCAGGUGUUACUUGGUGUCCAGUUCUAAUGGGGAACCGGACACCAGGGCGGGCCCAGAGCCUGGCGGACACACGCGCUUGCCGGGGACCCCGAGUGCUACGAGACUAUGCUCAUGGAGAGUUUGAGGCUCUGCGCUCCCUCUCCUUCUCUUUGGCCAGUGCCGCGCUUUGUCGUGGUUGAGGCUCUUGGGAGGGAGGAGGAGAAGGGGAGGGACCGCUGCCGGAGCCCGCCGAGUCCCGGCCGGCGGCGCGCUCCCCCACACCCACGCCUGCAGCCCCGCGGAGCCGAGCCGCGCAGGCGCGCGCGCGCGAGUGCACGCAAACACAUGCACACACACGGACACCAGCACACCCGGGCCCUCUGCCCAGCCCUCCCCCUGGGCGGGGACCCGCCCGCCGUCAGCUUAGGUUGAGGCACCCUGCGUGUGUCUAUAACUUUGUGCUGCUGCCGCGGCCGCCCUGCUCGUGGAAGGGAGGAGGAGGAAUGUGGAAGGCGGCAGCACGCAGGCUGACAGGCGGUUCUUCUGGAGGGCUGCGGCGGUGGCCGGAGCGCCUCUCUUUCGCUGAGGUUGCGCGCCCCCUCCUCGCCGUGCCCCGGGCCCGCGCGGGAUUGUGCGUCCUCCCCCCUCGUCCCUGAAGGGAAGGAACCGAGUGUUUUUAAAGGACUUGAGUGAAGGGGGGAAAACUGUCAAGAUGGCAGCAGCGGGAGCAAGGAGGUGAUGAACGUGCUAGUCCGGGUUUUCUGGCGGCCCGGGAGACUUGGUGAUUCCCGACCUGUUGGAAGAUUUAUGUUCCUACUUGUCCCCUCCCCUUGUCCUUUACUGGGAAGGGGGUGGAGGGCACAACGUCUGUGAGAAAAUAAACCGCACAAAAUCCCAAA